AUUGAACGCUGGCGGCAUGCCUUACACAUGCAAGUCGAACGGCAGCACGGGUGCUUGCACCUGGUGGCGAGUGGCGAACGGGUGAGUAAUACAUCGGAACAUGUCCUGUAGUGGGGGAUAGCCCGGCGAAAGCCGGAUUAAUACCGCAUACGAUCUACGGAUGAAAGCGGGGGCCCUUCGGGCCUCGCGCUAUAGGGUUGGCCGAUGGCUGAUUAGCUAGUUGGUGGGGUAAAGGCCUACCAAGGCGACGAUCAGUAGCUGGUCUGAGAGGACGACCAGCCACACUGGGACUGAGACACGGCCCAGACUCCUACGGGAGGCAGCAGUGGGGAAUUUUGGACAAUGGGCGAAAGCCUGAUCCAGCAAUGCCGCGUGCGUGAAGAAGGCCUUCGGGUUGUAAAGCACUUUUGUCCGGAAAGAAAUCCUUGGCCCUAAUACGGUCGGGGGAUGACGGUACCGGAAGAAUAAGCACCGGCUAACUACGUG
rnacentral:rRNA from 1 species